GACGAACGCUGGCGGCGUGCUUAACACAUGCAAGUCGAACGGAAAGGCCCUGCUUUUGUGGGGUGCUCGAGUGGCGAACGGGGGAGUAACACGUGAGUAACCUGCCCCUGACUUUGGGAGAACUUCAGGAAACUGGGGCUAUUACCGGAGAGGAGCUCCUGCUGCAUGGUGGUGGUUGGAAAGAUUCGGCGGUUGGGGAUGGACUCGCGGCUUAUCAGCUUGUUGGUGGGGUAGUGGCUUACCAAGGCUUUGACGGGUAGCCGGCCUGGGAGGGUGACCGGCCACAUUGGGACUGAGAUACGGACCAGAAUGCUACGGGAGGCAGCAGUGGGGAAUAUUGCACAAUGGGCGGAAGCCUGAUGCGGAAACGCCGCGUGCGGGAUAACGGCCUACGGGUUGUAAACCGCUUUCGACUGUGACGAAGCGUGAGUGACGGUAAUGGGUAAAGAAGCACCGGCUAACUACGUG
rnacentral:rRNA from 1 species